AGUGAACGCUGGCGGUAGGCCUAACACAUGCAAGUCGAUCGGCAGCACAGUAAGAGCUUGCUCUUACGGGUGGCGAGUGGCGGACGGGUGAGGAAUACAUCGGAAUCUACUUUUUCGUGGGGGAUAACGUAGGGAAACUUACGCUAAUACCGCAUACGACCUACGGGUGAAAGCAGGGGAUCUUCGGACCUUGCGCGAUUGAAUGAGCCGAUGUCGGAUUUGCUAGUUGGCGGGGUAAAGGCCCACCAAGGCGACGAUCCGUAGCUGGUCUGAGAGGAUGAUCAGCCACACUGGAACUGAGACACGGUCCAGACUCCUACGGGAGGCAGCAGUGGGGAAUAUUGGACAAUGGGCGCAAGCCUGAUCCAGCCAUACCGCGUGGGUGAAGAAGGCCUUCGGGUUGUAAAGCCCUUUUGUUGGGAAAGAAAAGCAGCAGGUUAAUACCCCGCUGUUCUGACGGUACCCAAAGAAUAAGCACCGGCUAACUUCGUG
rnacentral:rRNA from 1 species